rnacentral:sRNA from 1 species
CAAAACCAAAACCAAAAAACACA